CACUGGUUUAUUCUUUGUUGUUAGAUAUAUUACAAUGGGAGGGGGAAAAAGAGACUUUAGCUGUCCUUUUGUGACAUAAAUUCACUUUUUACAUGGUACUAAAGGCUCAAAGAGGAGAUGCAUGAUGCUAUACCAUAUUCCACCACUAUUUGGUCUGCUUUCAAAGCAAUUCAAAUUAAGGCCACUUUAGGAGAAGUGGUAUUUGCACAAGAUGGCAACAACAGAAAAUAUGUCUUUGAGGCAGUGACUUUAAAAACAACUUCUUACAGAUCAGGUUCAUUUAGCAGCAAUCAGGAAAGUAAAAACCACUGGAUAUAUUACUAUGGCCAUUGAACAAAACCGUCCUCUUUUUUUCUCUUCGCCCAAUUCCAUAGCCUUCAUCCCUUCCCCCUCUUCCCCAGAAGAAAAAUCAACCACUAAUGUGCAAGGGUUUGAAUGCUAUUUGUGGCAAUCUGUCACUUUACUUAGUGUUCUGCCCUGAUGUGAAAGCAGGAUUUUCUUUUUUUUCUAUCUGCAGAACAUGCUUUUCCAGGCCUAUUAUGUGUAUAAACAAUGGCAUAUGUAAUUACCUUUCUGGAGUGGCAAUUAUUUCACUGCAUCAACAACUGAGGUUAAGGCAAUCCAUCCCGCUGCACCCCUCCUCCAAAUAAAGGAUAUCCUAAAUAUAUAAAAAAAAACAUUUGCGGAUCAAAUCAGGGCUGCUUAUGUCAGCCUGGGGAGGGACAGAUACUAUCACUGCAGCCUUUAAAUGUCAGCAUGAUUUUUUUUUUUCUAGCAGUAAUUGCUUUACAUUUUGUUUCAGCUUGAGUCAUUUCAACCUUUGCCUACAAGCCAGUUUUUGCACCCCACCUCCUUACACUGAAAACUUUUACACUUUUGCUAGGGCGGAUUUCGUUGGCAAUUCUGUGGGUAAGAAAAUACCAUACCUGUCAUGUCAAAGCUGUUGGAGGGUGCAAAAUGCUGACUUGCUUGUCUUGCUUCAAGCUACAAGAGGUUAUGCAGGGUGGUGGGUUGAGAAAGUGAGGGAUGAAGGAGAGUUUCAAUUUUCUUUCCCCUAUUAUGUAUCCAUUUUGCUGUGUAUGAUUACAGUCCUCUGUGUUUCUGAGGAAUAUUUAUGCCAUCAGCUGAACAUUCAUGGACCGAUUGUUUCACUGUAUCUGACAACUUAACCUACCUCAAGAUUUCCUGACCUUGGGUCUGAUCCUACAAAGCAUUAUGGCUAGGUCUGCACUGAAAGUUAAGUUCAUGCUACUUCAAACCCCUUAACCAUAUUGCGUGAGGAUGGCCCCAUUCCCUGUACUCUGCUCAGAGAGCCCGGGAUGCUUCUUGCUGCCUUCAGUGAGAGCCAUGCAUGGGUAAAGCUGGCAUGGGGAUCUGUCCAAGAAAUCCCAGUAGUCAGGAACUGUAAUUCAUGUAGUUCAGGCUCAUUAGAGCAGCUUCAUCAUAAAGCAAAAUAGUGCAGAUACUGCCCAACCAUGUUUACAAAAGCAGUCUAAACUACCUUUUAUACCUGGGGAAGCAGAGGGUAUGAUACUGAGGCUAGCAUUAAAGUCCUACAGCAAUGUGCACUUCUUUUUCACUGUUGACGCAAAUUAAUUUUUACAAAAUGCAAAGUCUGUUUAUGGGGAGCAACAUAUGCUUAUAUGUAAAAGUAAAAGGGUGUGUUACAUCCUUGCUCCAAUCAGUUUAAGUGAGGACUUUCCUGAGCAAAGACAGUCCUAAAUAUAUGCUUAAUUUUCUGGAACUGGGGCCAAACUGAAAUCAAUUCUUGUAAGCUCCUUUUGCUCCUGACAGUGUUGUCGUCAGCAUGCCUAAUAAGGCACUCCUAAUACAGACAUCGUUAAAUGAAAGGUAUUUUAAUGACAGCUCCUUCGUUCUCUUCCACACACAGUGCACUGGGAGGCUGGCUGCAUGAAUGCCCUCCGUGUGUUAUGUGCUUAUACAAAUUAAAGAAUGAAGGGAGGAAUAGGACCAAGACGAACUAGAAAUUCUUCCCUGUGAGGAUGGUGAGGCCCUGGCACAGGGCGCCCAGAGAAGCUGUGGCUGCCCCAUCCCUGGCAGUGUUCAAGACCAGGUUGGACAGGGCUUGGAGCAAGCUGGUCUAGUGGAAGGUGUCACUGUUCAUGCCAGGGGGUUGGAAGUGGGUGAGAUUUAAGGUCCGUUACAGCCCAAACCAUUUUAUCGUUCUGUGAUAACUAUAACAUAAACUCAAAACCUCGAAGUAGUGUCUACUUGUUAUCUCAUAUAUAAAGGAAUUUUACUGUUCGUGAGGGUGUUAACC
rnacentral:lncRNA from 1 species